rnacentral:rRNA from 1 species
UGGGGAAUAUUGCACAAUGGGCGCAAGCCCGAUGCAGCAACGCCGCGUGAACGAUGAAGGUCUUCGGAUCGUAAAGUUCUGUUGCAGGGGAAGAUAAUGACGGUUGCCUGUGAGGAAGCCCCGGCUAACUACGUGCCAGCAGCCGCGGUAAUACGUAGGGGGCUAGCGUUAUCCGGAUUUACUGGGCGUAAAGGGUGCGUAGGUGGUCCUUCAAGUCGGUGGUUAAAGGCUACGGCUCAACCGUAGUAAGCCGCCGAAACUGGAGGACUUGAGUGCAGGAGAGGAAAGUGGAAUUCCCAGUGUAGCGGUGAAAUGCGUAGAUAUUGGGGGGAACACCAGUAGCGAAGGCGGCUUUCUGGACUGCAACUGACACUGAGGCACGAAAGCGUGGGUAGCAAACAGG